GGGAGGCGGCUUUCCUCUGGAUUUCCGCGGCGGUGCAAGUCCCAUUGAACGGGGCGCUUUGCCCGGAGAGGGUGCCAGGCCCUUACCGCCGCCGUGGUUUCUCGGAGCGCCGUUCUCCCGGGAGUCGGGUUGCUUGGGAGUGCAGCCCAAAGCGGGUGGUAAACUCCAUCUAAGGCUAAAUAUGACCGAGAGACCGAUAGCGAACAAGUACCGUGAGGGAAAGUUGAAAAGCACUUUGAAGAGAGAGUUCAAGAGUACGUGAAACCGUUCGGAGGGAAACGGGUGGGGCCUCGAAGUCCGACGGCGGUGGCGGAUUCAGGCGGUUACGCGAGCGACGCGUUGCCUUUGGAGGGUCGAGGCCUAGACGGGUCGCCCCUCCGGAGUGCCAGCGCUACGUACCGCCGCACUUUCGCAACCCGCUAAACUGGGCGUCGCGACCGGUUGGAGAGCUGCCGGAUGGGUGGGAAGCAAGGUGCCCGCCUUUCCUUCGGGAUUCGCGGUGUUAUAGGCUCCCAAUACCCUGGCGGGCUCCCCGACCGAGGACUGUUCAUGCUCCCUCCCGGACGGGAGCGGCGGCGUGCGCUCUGUCAUCCACAUCAGGCGCGCCACCCGAGCGGGUGAGCGUCGGGUGGGGGGGAUAUUGCGUGCGUGCUGCCGCUGCGGAGCCGAUGGUCGGCGGCGAGUAGAUCGGUGACCCACCCGACCCGUCUUGAAACACGGACCAAGGAGUCCAAUGCGUGCGCGAGUUCCCGGGACUCGACUAAGCCCGAGGGCGAAAUGAAAGUGAAGGGCGGUUCGGCCGUCCGAGUUGGGAUCCCGUUACCUCGGUAGCGGGCGCACCAACGGCCCGUCUAUGCCUACUUAGGCUGGGCGGAGCGAGAGCGCAUGCCUUGGGACCCGAAAGAUGGUGAACUAUGCCUGGGCAGGAUGAAGCCGGAGGAAACUCCGGUGGAGGUCCGCCGCGGUUCUGACGUGCAAAUCGAUCGUCAGAUCUGGGU
rnacentral:rRNA from 1 species